GACGAACGCUGGCGGCGUGCUUAACACAUGCAAGUCGAACGGAAAGGCCCUGCUUUUGUGGGGUGCUCGAGUGGCGAACGGGUGAGUAACACGUGAGUAACCUGCCCUUGACUUUGGGAUAACUUCAGGAAACUGGGGCUAAUACCGGAUAGGAGCUCCUGCUGCAUGGUGGGGGUUGGAAAGUUUCGGCGGUUGGGGAUGGACUCGCGGCUGACCAGCUUGUUGGUGGGGUAGUGGCUUACCAAGGCUUUGACGGGUAGCCGGCCUGGGAGGGUGACCGGCCACAUUGGGCCUGAGGUGCGGCCCAGACUCCUGCGGGAGGCAGCAGUGGGGAAUAUUGCACAAUGGGCGGAGGCCUGAUGCAGCAACGCCGCGUGCGGGAUGACGGCUUUCGGGUUGUAAACCGCUUUCGCCUGUGACGAAGCGUGAGUGACGGUAAUGGGUAAAGAAGCACCGGCUACCUACUU
rnacentral:rRNA from 1 species